rnacentral:lncRNA from 1 species
CAAAAGGCGGUCCCUCCUCCCCGAAAGGUGGCCGCUCCUCCCCAUAAGGUGGUCUCUCCCCCCUGAAAGGUGGUCUCUCACCCCCGAAAGGUGGCCUAUCUUCCCCGUAAGGUGGUCUCUCGCCUCUGAAAGGUGGCCUAUCUUCCCCGUAAGGUGGUCUCUCCUCCCUGUAAGGUGGUCUCUCUUCCCCAUAAGGUGGUCUCUCCUCCCUGUAAGGUGGUCUCUCUUCCCCGUAAGGUGGCCUCUCCUCCCCAAAAGGUGGUCUCUCCUCCCCAAAAGGUGGUCUUUCUUCCCCAUAAGGCGGCUCAUUCCUCCCACCAUGUCUCUCCUCCCCAUAAGAUGGUUCAUUCCUUCCACCUAGUCUCUCCUCCCCAAGAGAUGAUUGUUUCCAUCCACCCG